CCUACGGGUGGCAGCAGUGAGGAAUAUUGGUCAAUGGCCGGAAGGCUGAACCAGCCAAGCCGCGUGAGGGACGAAGGUGCCAAGCAUUGUAAACUUCUUUUGUCGAGGGACAAAAUCAGGCUCGAGAGCCUGACCGAGGGUACUUGAAGAAAAAGCAUCGGCUAACUCCGUGCCAGCAGCCGCGGUAAUACGGAGGAUGCGAGGGUUAUCCGGAUUUAUUGGGUUUAAAGGGUGCGUAGGCGGGCUGUUAAGUCAGCGGUAAAAUCCCGGGGCUCAACCCCGGCAAGCCGUUGAAACUGGGUGCCUUGAGAGUGCGAGAGGUAUGCGGAAUGCGAAGUGUAGCGGUGAAAUGCUUAGAUAUUACGCAGAACUCCGAUUGCGAAGGCAGCAUACCGGCGGCGAUCUGACGCUGAGGCACGAAAGCGUGGGUAUCGAACAGGAUUAGAUACCCGAGUAGUC
rnacentral:rRNA from 1 species